GUGGGGAAUAUUGGACAAUGGGGGGAACCCUGAUCCAGCCAUGCCGCGUGUGUGAAGAAGGCCUUUUGGUUGUAAAGCACUUUAAGCGAGGAGGAGGCUACCGAGAUUAAUACUCUUGGAUAGUGAACGUUACUCGCAGAAUAAGCACCGGCUAACUCUGUGCCAGCAGCCGCGGUCAUACAGAGGGUGCAAGCGUUAAUCGGAUUUACUGGGCGUAAAGCGCGCGUAGGUGGCCAAUUAAGUCAAAUGUGAAAUCCCCGAGCUUAACUUGGGAAUUGCAUUCGAUACUGGUUGGCUAGAGUAUGGGAGAGGAUGGUAGAAUUCCAGGUGUAGCGGUGAAAUGCGUAGAGAUCUGGAGGAAUACCGAUGGCGAAGGCAGCCAUCUGGCCUAAUACUGACACUGAGGUGCGAAAGCAUGGGGAGCAAACAGGAUUAGAAACCCUAGUAGUCC
rnacentral:rRNA from 1 species